rnacentral:rRNA from 1 species
CCUACGGGAGGCAGCAGUGAGGAAUAUUGGUCAAUGGACGCAAGUCUGAACCAGCCAUGCCGCGUGCAGGAAGACGGCUCUAUGUGUUGUAAACCGCUUUUGUCCGGGGACAAACGCAGAUACGCGUAUCUGUCUGAAAGUAUCGUACGAAUAAGGAUCGGCUAACUCCGUGCCAGCAGCCGCGGUAAUACGGAGGAUUCAAGCGUUAUCCGGAUUUAUUGGGUUUAAAGGGUGCGUAGGCGGUCGGAUAAGUUAGAGGUGAAAUCCCGAGGCUCAACUUCGGAAUUGCCUCUGAUACUGGUCGGCUAGAGAGUAGGUGCGGUAGGCGGAAUGUAUGGUGUAGCGGUGAAAUGCUUAGAGAUCAUACAGAACACCGAUUGCGAAGGCAGCUUACCAGGCUACUUCUGACGUUGAGGCACGAAAGCGUGGGGAGCGAACAGGAUUAGAUACCCUUGUAGUC